CUCUUCCCUCCCUGGGGGUUUGGGCGACAAGGCCGAGAGAGAGAGAAAAAAAAAAGGUGGAGGAGAGACAAGGCCAAAGCAAAGCAGCCAGCGCGAGCAGGGGAGGUAGAGAGAGAGAGAAAAAAAAGAGCAGCGCCACGAACAGAACAACAAGCCUCGCCUCACUUUCUCUCUCCUCCACCAUCCCUUUUUUUCUCUCUCUCUACUCUCUCCCCUUGUCGUCCUCCGGCCCUCUCCGCAUUCCUCUCCCCCUGCCACCUCGUGUCCUACUACUCCAACUCCUAGCACCCCCACCCCACCUCCCCCUGUAUUCUCUCUAGUAGUAGCAACUAGCAAGUGCUACGGGGCUACAGCCUACAAGUAGUAGGCCUUGGUACCCAGCCGACGAAUCCCGGCUCCCGCGUCGUCCUAGAGGCCGGCUAAAGCUGGCGAGGAGGGUGGCGGCGCGGCGGCAGCUGCACUGCCGGCAGGAGAGAGCUUCUCGGCCUGCGCCGUUUGCUGCUCCCCACUGGUCGUUGGAGGGCUGGCGGUUCCGCCCUCUGGAAAAAAAAAAAAAAUCCAAUCUUGGCUCGGCUCGGCUCGUGGCGGCCGGCUGCCUGAUCGGGCCUCGCCCCGUGGCUAGUUCGAUCUGAGAUUCGAAGACCACCCCCGGGUGAAAACCUCUCCGCCUCUGAGGAGUGGAUCCUGGAUUCGAGUCUUCCCGCUGCAGGGAGAUCGCGGCUUGAGGAGGUACGGUGGUGGUGGUGGCGGCGCGGCGACAGAUCCCCCUAUGCGCCGCCUGCCGUGCCGUGUGCUGAGCGCGGAGCAGGAGCUAUGAGACAAUGACGGAAGAAAGCGCCAAGAAGAGCAAGCUUUCGUGGUCCAAGUCCCUCGUCAGGAAGUGGCUCAACAUCCGGCCCAGGGCGCAGGACUUCCAUGCCGAUUUCGACGCCGGCCACCAGGCAAGGGACGGCGGCGGCGGCGGCGGUGGAUCAUGGAGGCCCAGCUGUUCCUCGAGCGAAGCGAGCGCAAGCACUGCCAAGAAAAGCAGAGCUGACCGGCCGUCGUCGAAGCGGAGCGCCGAACGCGCUCGCCGAGGGAGGAAUAAUUUCGACCUAGCACGCCUGACAGAAGUGCAAGAUUACAGGAUCUUCGCUGCGACGUGGAACGUGGGUGGCAAGUCACCACCCAGGGGGCUAAAUCUAGAUGAAUGGCUCCAUACUUCUCCUUCUGCCGAUAUCUAUGUCUUAGGGUUUCAAGAGAUUGUCCCUUUGAACGCGGGAAACGUUCUUGGCACUGAAGAUAACCUUCCAGCCAAGAAGUGGGUGUCCCUUAUCAGGCGGACGCUGAACAAGAAUCCUGGAUCUAGUGGCUGUGGUGGUGGCUACCAUACACCCUCACCAGUCCUGGAUCCGGUUGUCGAGUUAGACGCCGACUUCGAGGGGUCUGCGAGAAGGCAGGACAACUUCUCAUUCUUCCACCGUCGGUCGUUCCACAAUCUCAGCCGUAGCUUAAGAAUGGACGGGGACUUGAUGUUCCCGCAGCCAAGGCUAGAUCGCAGGUUCAGCGUCUGCGAUCCAGUCAACCUAGGAGGCAGACCAAGCGAUUUUGAUGGAAGUCUGCGUUGCCCCGGAUCACCUGAUGAGGAUACAAUCGAUAUGGAAAUGGGUGACAGCGUACAAGUUUCACCAUUCCCUCAUAGCUACAGUGCAUCUGCACCUUCCGAACAGAACGAUGACCAAUCAAACAGCUCCAGGUAUUGCUUAGUUGCCAGCAAACAAAUGGUCGGCAUAUUUCUCACGGUCUGGGUGCGCAAUGAAAUAAGAGACGACGUCAGGAACUUGAAAGUCUCUUGCGUGGGUAGAGGAUUGAUGGGUUAUCUCGGAAACAAGGGUUCGAUUUCAGUGAGCAUGUGCCUGCACCAGACGAGCUUCUGCUUCGUAUGUUGCCACCUGACCUCGGGGGAGAAGGAAGGCGACGAGCUGCGCAGGAACUCCGACGUCCUGGAGAUCCUAAGGAAGACCAGGUUCCCGCGGGUCCGCGGCGCCGGUGACGUCAGGUCACCUGAGACGAUCCUCGAGCACGAUCGGGUUAUAUGGCUUGGGGAUUUGAACUACCGGAUCGCCCUGUCUUACUGCUCGGCGAAGGCUCUCGUGGAAAUGCAUAGCUGGAAGCAGUUAUUGGAGAAAGACCAGCUGCGGAUGCAACAGAGAUACGGACGAGUUUUCCAGGGCUGGAAAGAAGGGAGGAUCUACUUCCCUCCCACGUACAAAUACUCUUUCAACUCAGACCGGUACGCCGGCGAGGGCAGGCACCCUAAGGAGAAGCGGAGGACGCCAGCAUGGUGCGACCGCAUCCUCUGGCACGGCAACGGCCUGAGCCAGCUGUGCUACGUCCGCGGCGAGUCCCGCUUCUCCGACCACCGGCCGGUGUAUGGCAUCUUCCUGGCGGAGGUCGGCGUCGUGCGCCAGCGGAGGAGGAACAACGCCGGGUACUUCGGAUCUAGGGUCGAGGUGGAGGAGCUGUUGCCGCGCUCUCGGAGCUAUAGACUGAGAGAUGAUGAAGUUUUGCUGAGCUGACUUAUAGCAUGAUAUAAUAGAAGGUACCCCUCCCCCAACAGCACCCAAGAGAGAAUGUGCAGACACUAACUGGAUGAAAAAAAAGGACGCUGGGCGGUAUUUUUUGCUCACCAAGAGCAGGCAGGCAACAGCGGGACACGCACGACGAGUAUGUCGCCGCUCGUCGUCGGAGACGUAGCAGCAGCAGGCAUGCCGCUGACUGGCUAUAGAGUUUACCCCCAGCUUUAGCCGGCCCACACUUAGUUAUUCCUCCUCCUAGCAACUGCAUUUGCUUCAAUUUUGUUUUCCUCGUUUUUUUGGUAGGUGGACCUUGGGAGUGUCAGCAAACACAACAUGUUUUCUUCCUCUUCUUUUUUUGAUGAUUCUUUUCGUUUGUAAGAAACUUUGUAAAAACCUGCUGGUGUCUGUGCUGUGCUUGCCAUGCAAGUCGUGGAACCUUUUUAAGAUAAGCUCA